GAGAAUGCCGGUGUGAGUAGCGAAAGACGGGUGAGAAUCCCGUCCACCGAUUGACUAAGGUUUCCAGAGGAAGGCUCGUCCGCUCUGGGUUAGUCGGGUCCUAAGCUGAGGCCGACAGGCGUAGGCGAUGGAUAACAGGUUGAUAUUCCUGUACCACCUAUAAUCGUUUUAAUCGAUGGGGGGACGCAGUAGGAUAGGCGAAGCGUGCGAUUGGAUUGCACGUCUAAGCAGUAAGGCUGAGUAUUAGGCAAAUCCGGUACUCGUUAAGGCUGAGCUGUGAUGGGGAGAAGACAUUGUGUCUUCGAGUCGUUGAUUUCACACUGCCGAGAAAAGCCUCUAGAUAGAAAAUAGGUGCCCGUACCGCAAACCGACACAGGUAGUCAAGAUGAGAAUUCUAAGGUGAGCGAGCGAACUCUCGUUAAGGAACUCGGCAAAAUGACCCCGUAACUUCGGGAGAAGGGGUGCUCUUUAGGGUUAACGCCCAGAAGAGCCGCAGUGAAUAGGCCCAAGCGACUGUUUAUCAAAAACACAGGUCUCUGCUAAACCGUAAGGUGAUGUAUAGGGGCUGACGCCUGCCCGGUGCUGGAAGGUUAAGAGGAGUGGUUAGCUUCUGCGAA
rnacentral:rRNA from 1 species